rnacentral:rRNA from 1 species
UACGUAGGCAGCGAGCGUUGUUCGGAGUUACUGGGCGUAAAGCGUGCGUAGGCGGUGUUCCAAGUCUGUUGUGAAAUCUCCCGGCUUAACUGGGAGGGUGCGGCGGAAACUGGAACGCUGGAGUAUGGGAGAGGUAAGCGGAAUUCCCGGUGUAGCGGUGAAAUGCGUAGAUAUCGGGAGGAAUACCUAUGGCGAAAGCAGGCUACUGGACCGUCACUGACUCUGAUCUGCGAAAGCUAGGGGAGCAAACAGG